GGAGCUCAUGGUGAAGAAGAAUUCAUAGCAAGAGCAUAUGAUUUGGCAGCACUCAAGUACUGGGGAACAUCAACUUCUAAAAAAUUUCCGGUGUCUAAAUACUUAACAUUAAAAGAAUACUUGGCCUCUCUAAGAAGAAGAAGCAGUGACUUCUCAAAUGGUGUAUACAAGCUUGAGUUCAACAAUGCAGGCUCUCUAUAUUCCUACUUAAUCUUAGUGCUGCCCCGUUCCUACUAUCUUUUAGUUUCUUUUUUGGGUGAACAAAUGCAAGAUCUAGCUCAGACCAAGCAACUUGGUCUGUGCUGAUUUGGAUUUGUAAUUAUGAUAUGGUUUGUCUAUCAGCCUAUUGUUUUCUUAUUAUUGGCUUCUUUGUACAUCCUUCUUAAUUCUAUAAUGAAACCUUAGCUUGCAUUAGAAAUGCACGC